AACUGGAGAGGAGGCAAGAUGCUGGCAUAGCUGUUGAAUUGAGAACCUGCUAUGCCAACAUAUUGCCAUCUCUCUUGUCUG
rnacentral:pre_miRNA from 1 species